rnacentral:rRNA from 1 species
UACUUCUAGGGUAGCGGUAAAAUGUGUUAAUCCUUGAAGGACAACCGGUAGCGAAGGCGCCUGACUAGAACGCGCUCGACGGUGAGGGACGAAGGCCAGGGGAGCAACCCGGAUUAGAUACCCGGUUAGUCCUGGCAGUAAAUGAUGCAAACUAGGUGUCAUUCAACCCAUGUGGUUGUGUGGUGCCGAAGGGAAACCGUUAAGUUUGCCGCCUGGGGAGUAUGGUCGCAAGACUGAAACUUAAAGGAAU